rnacentral:rRNA from 1 species
UACGGAGGGUGCGAGCGUUUGUCCGGAAUCACUGGGCGUAAAGGGCGCGUAGGCGGCUCAUGAAGGCUGUGGUGAAAGUCCGGGGCUCAACCUUGGAACUGCCUUUGAUACUGGCUAUCUUGAGUUCGGGAGAGGUGAGUGGAAUGCCGAGUGUAGAGGUGAAAUUCGUAGAUAUUGGGAAGAACACCAGUGGCGAAGGCGACUUACUGGACACAUAUUGACGCUGAGGUGCGAAAGCGUGGGGAGCAAACAGG